AUCACUUCUUGACCUUUUGGCUAAGAUCAAAUGUGUAUCUAUUCUUAUCAGCUGAAUAUUUGAUACAUUCUCUAUCCUCUGAGGACAAUAUAUUAAAUCAAUUUGGGAUCUGGAAAAUGGGAUUGGACUUUGCUCCACCUAUUUGGUAUGUGGACCUAGUGUCAAAGCAUCUACAUAAAUGAU
rnacentral:snRNA from 1 species